rnacentral:lncRNA from 1 species
CUCUUUUUCUCUUGCUACUGCCACAUAAGAAGUGCCUUUCUCCUCCUGCCAUGAUUCUGAGGCCUCCCCAGCCAUGUGGAACUGUAAGUCCAAUUAAACCUCUUUUUCUUCCCAGUCUCGGGUAUCUCUUUGUAAGCAGCAUGAAAACACACUAAUAAAAUAAAUUGGUACAAGUAGAGUGGGGUGUUGCUGAAAAGAUACUCAAAAAUGUGGAAGCGACUUUGGAACUGGGUAAUAGGCAGAGGUUGGAACAGUUUGGAGGGCUCAGAAGAAGACAGAAAAAUGUGGAAAGUUUGGAACUCCCUAGAGACUUGUUGAAUGGCUUUGCCUAAAAUGCUGAUAGCAAUAUGGACAAUAAAGUCUAGGCUCAGGUGGUCUCAGAUGGAGAUGAGGAACUUUUUGGGAACUGGAGUAAAGGUAACUCUUUUUAUGUUUUAGCAUAGAGACUGGCAGCAUUUUGCCCCUGCCCUCCCUAGAGAUCUGUGGAACUUUGAACUUGAGAAAGAUGAUUUAGGGUAUCUGGUGGAAGAAAUUUCUAAGCAGCAAAGCAUUCAAGAA